GACGUAGGGGGCCAGCGUUGCUCGGAAUUACUGGGCGUAAAGGGUUCGUAGGCGGUGCGGCAAGUCGGAAGUGAAAUCUCUGGGCUUAACUCAGAGGCUGCUCCCGAAACUGCCGUGCUCGAGUGCGGGAGAGGCGAGUGGAAUUACAGGUGUAGCGGUGAAAUGCGUAGAUAUCUGUAGGAACACCCGUGGCGAAGGCGGCUCGCUGGACCGCAACUGACGCUGAGGAACGAAAGCUAGGGGAGCAAACAGG
rnacentral:rRNA from 1 species